UUUUCAUAUUCUAAAUGUGUUGGCUACCAAAUAUCUUGAUUAGGAUUGAGGUAAGAUUGGUGUAAUAUAGAAUCUAUGUACCAUAAUUAAUUUUAUUAAUAUUCUAGGUAAGCCACUUUCUAAUUUCAAAUUCUACACUAUGUUUUUCAGAGCUCCGGUAGAAUAAGAGGAUGCUUGAUAAACCCAUCCGAGAAAUUGGAAGGAAAAAGACUAUUUACAAGCACAAGGAAAGAAACUGAUUGUGGAGAUAAAAAAAAAUGUAAAGCAAGGGCAGAUGGUAAGUUAUUCUCUAUAGAUAAUUUCAUUUCAGUUUCUUAGACUUUAUGACUCUCUUUUCUCCCAUAGGCCCCAUCUACUUUAUUGCCCAGGUUGCUCCCAUAAAGACAUUUUGGAAUUUUUUUUUUUUUUUUUUUAUCAGAUUGAUUUUAAAGAUAGAUUCAUUAAUGAUAAUUUAGUGAAUUUUAAUCUUCAUUAUAUGAACCAUCUAGAAGAAACAAGCUGUCCAAAUUUAAAGCUCAAAUAACAGAAGUGAAAGGGAUAAUGAUGGACAAUAUUGAGAAAGUAUAACAAGAGGCAUCAAAGCCCACGCACAAGAAGUCGAUACAGGAGUCGUGAAAGAGACCUCCCUACAAGCUUUUUGGUCUGCAAACGUCGGCAUGAUUGCAAGUCUAUUUUCAUGUUUCUUAAAUGAAAAUUCAAUUGCUAUUAUUUCUUGUAGUUGUUCAACCAGCUUCAAGCUACUUUCUUGUUAUUGAAAUUACUUUAAAAGCAUCGAUAUCUUCUUCCCAAUUUUUUGAUUUCACUAUCACGCCUUGGAGAUAUAUCUUCCAUAUUAUAAACAUUUUCUUUUCUACAGAAAGCAUUAUUUCCUACCUUUGGCAUUUGGUUACUAUUUUAGAUGUAUUGAUCAUCUGAGUAUAUAUACGAACCUAAUCUAUCCAUAAAUUAUUUUACAUGCCAUACUGGUUGGAUGCACAAAGUUACUUCAUUAGGCAUACGCUUAUUUUGAUAGUGUGUGUAUCCAAUUCCAUGUUCAUAUUAGUGUGAUUUUUUAUAUGUAUCAACUUCCAUGACUAAAAUAUGUACCUUCAUUUGGACAUGAAAACCUCAUCCCUAAAAGAAUCUCAUACAGACACAAUGACAUUUAGGAAUACGUUAUUUAGAGUGAACUGAGCCACAAAAUUUAUUUACCAAGUGUGUUUCUAAAAACUAAAGAUUAGUAAGUGCCUAAGAUUUAGGUGAAAAUUUAUGGAACUUUCAAAAUAAUCCCAAUAAUAAUUGACACGCUAACAUUACCUUAAAAAUAAUACGGCCCAUGCAUUGCACGGGCAUAAG
rnacentral:lncRNA from 1 species